UUUUUAAAGAGCACAAGGGGCAGGAUUUUCAUGCUCAUGAAAGGUGUAGUAGUUAAGAGCUUUGGGGGUGAUUCAAAAAGUUAGAUCAUUCAUCCUGUCACCCUUGGCUUUAAUUUUUGUCGGUUAUGUGACCUUGGGCGAGUUCGUUCCCUUCUCCACUUUACAAUCUAUCAAAGAGGAACAGCACCAAGCAAUUUGAGUGGCCUUCUUAAGCCAAGUAAAAGGACAGCUCAAGAGGCCCACGCUAGGCAGUUUCUCCAUCCCUCUGGCUUCUGCGUGGCCCAGCUUCCCGGCUGCGGGUCAUCCUGUGGUGUAGCUCCGAUUGCUGGAUGGGCUCACAGCAAACUCUUCGCAACUGUAACCGCUUCUGGUCGCGAUAGGCUUUCGCUUUUAUUUCCUCCUCUGUGCGUCUUGGCAGCGCCGCCCCUUCCCGUCGUGCAAUACCCAUGAGACUUUAUUUAGUUUGGGGAACAGCUUCUCGGCUGAGCAGAGGCCAGAAAGCCGCACUGUGCCGGUCCAGGGCGUGACGCCAGCCGGCAGCGGAACUACCACUCCCGGCGGGUAGCGCGUCGCGCGCCGGAGCGCUGGCCUCCCGAGCCCGGUCGUGUGGCCCGCGGGGGUCUGGAGUCUUAACGACACGCGCUCGCGAAGGAGCGGAAGGUGGGGAAGGGUCGGCAAACGCACGCUCCUACGAAACGGGUUUGCUAGUCCUUGUGGAGUGUUAGAUUCCUGUGGCCUUUUAAAUUAUUGAAUAAUGAUGGAUAUGGAUCCAAAAUAAUAAAUGACUUCUCUACUGAAGCAAUAGAAGAUUCUUCACAUCACCUUCCAGUAGCUCAAUUUCAGUCUUGAGGAAAGGGCAAAACAA